rnacentral:lncRNA from 1 species
AGAAAACUUACAGAGGACGACAAGUAAAUAAAAUAACAUACUUCAUACAUACGCUGCUGCGUUAAAGUGAGCGCCUGAGUUACAGCUUCCACCGCGUUCCGCUGUCUACCAACUGUCAGAGGAUGAGCACCUGAUUCCUUCUGUAAUUACUUCGCUGAUUUGAUUUUCUUUGAAAUGGUACCUCGUUACUUCUCCUAAUCUCCUAUUUCAUCUUCCGUUAGUAACAGAUGAAAGGAAUGAUGACUCCGAUGCCCAUGAGCUGAUGAUCUCCUUCUUUCAACCAGGCAAAAUUCCAACUCCGGAUUCGAAUUUUUGAGGGAUGGUUUUGUUGUCGUGGAGCUUGUUGGCUCUUGGCUUUGUUCUUGGCGUCGUCUCACUCGUUGCAGUGGAAGCAGCGGCUCUGUUGUUCCUGCUGAAGCGAAUGAAUAAGAAGAUUAAACGAACAGAAUCAGCCCCAAAAUUAGCUCAAUCUGUUACAGCAGUCGAUCCUCAGCAAUCCUUGCAUUUUGCUUUGAAUAAGCAGGUAUUUCUUUGCUCUACCUGAUUACAUUUCCCUCUAAUGUCAUUUCAUUGUGUAUAUAAUUAAGCACCAAACUGGACACCCAUCCUUUCCGCUGUUGGUAGCUAAAUCUGAUACGUUCAACGAACUUGUACCAUGCUGUUUAUGCGAGAUGUAAACAAGCAUAGAAGCAUAGCGCGUUGUUUUGGUGUCGGCUUGGGGCUUUUGCUUUGAAUUUUAGGAGCUUCGCAAGUUCAGUUAACCUACUGGAGUAAAUUUGACACACAGCUCUGAACCCUAGUCUUCUUGCAUGCAGGAAGCUAGGCUGUUGCAAGUCUGUGUCAUGAAUAAAAAAAGAAGAGAUCAAAAUUUAUAAUUUUCGUAGGGAAUGCGUGGCUUAUAAUUUGAGAUCAUAUUUUCUUUUAGAAUGUACCUUACUGAGUGCCUUGGAAACCAAAGGAAGAAAGAGUAUUUCGUUCUACCUUCCUGAAACUUUAUGAGCUGCUGAAAAGGCAGUUAGGCGCUGGUUCAUGACCACAGAGAAAACGAGCUAUUUAUGUAGAAUUUCAGUUAAACGUUUAUUUGCUAUCUCACAAGAUAUGUCGUGAAAAGCUGUGUUCCCUUGAAGGUUGCUGCAGUAAGUGGUGGUAUGAUUUUUGGACUAAAUAGAUAUUGCCUUGGAGGGGGAUAUCAUGGACAUGUUGAAAAUUUUCAUAAGAUAUGAUUUUUAUUGUAUUUAUUAUUUUAAUACCUAAAAGGGACAAGAAAUCCUCCUCAAACAAAAAAAAAAAAAAAAGCCACAAUGAAAUUCAAGAUAUCGCUCUAUCCAAGUACCUCUGCAUAAUAGCUAAGGAGAUAUCUCUGAAGGAACUGUGAGUUUGUCCCACAUAGAAGUGAAGGAAACCUAUCUAUCCCAAAGGAAAGACAGUGGAAAAUUAAUACUCGAUAAGUUUGUUUUCCAACUGAUAAUACCUAUAAAACCAACAAAAGGAGCUCCUGUCUAAAGCACCGUAGUUUCUUCUUUGCCCCUGUACUUUAUAGGACACAGGAAAGGAACAUUCAAGGCAAGGGGGAUAAACUUACAUGAAGCCAUAAGUACCAAAGAGCACCAUGCCUAAGCAUCCAAGCACCUCACAAUGCAAAAGGAGAUGACGAUGAGUCUUAGCCUCACUGAAGCACAUAACACACGGAUCCGAGAAAAGAUCAUGGUUAGUUUUCCAACUUGACUAUAAGUACUGAGCUCAUUCAGAAUAGUAGUUCAGAGAAAAGACCUUAGCCUUUAAGGAAAUUUUAGCCUUUUAAAAAGCAUUGGUAAAAGUCUUAUUGUGACAAUUAGAAUAAUGGGUAAAAUGAGAAAAAAGGAACUUAGAAAUGUACAUGCUAGAAAAGUCCAAAAUGGGAGAAUCUCCACUAAUCUUAUUAGAAGCAUGAUUAAUUGCUAAAUUUUACCCAAGUCUUAAAACAAAAAUUUAGGUCAAAGUGGUACAAGGUUGGAAGGUAUGAGGUACCCACCUUGUGGUGUAGAGUUAAUUAAUUGAGGUAUUAAUUUCUGUACAAUUUUAGUAAUCUAUCUACUAUUAGGUAUGUGACUUUUUUUUUUAAAUUCAAUGUUGAUAUUUACAAAUUGCAUUAGGGAUGAGAAGUGUUGAAAAGAUUGAUUGUGGAUGUGUUGAGUAGGAUGUUAAUAUGGGGUUCGAAAAGAGGAGCAGU